AGAGUUUGAUCCUGGCUCAGGAUGAACGCUAGCGACAGGCCUAACACAUGCAAGUCGAGGGGCAGCGGGGAGGUAGCAAUACCUUUGCCGGCGACCGGCGCACGGGUGAGUAACACGUAUGCAAUCCACCUGUAACAGGGGGAUAACCCGGAGAAAUCCGGACUAAUACCCCAUAAUAUGGGCGCUCCGCAUGGAGAGUCCAUUAAAGAGAGCAAUCUUGGUUACAGACGAGCAUGCGCUCCAUUAGCCAGUUGGCGGGGUAACGGCCCACCAAGGCGACGAUGGAUAGGGGUUCUGAGAGGAAGGUCCCCCACAUUGGAACUGAGACACGGUCCAAACUCCUACGGGAGGCAGCAGUGAGGAAUAUUGGUCAAUGGUCGGCAGACUGAACCAGCCAAGUCGCGUGAGGGAAGACGGCCCUACGGGUUGUAAACCUCUUUUGUCGGAGAGUAAAGUGCGCUACGCGUAGCGUAUUGCAAGUAUCCGAAGAAAAAGCAUCGGCUAACUCCGUGCCAGCAGCCGCGGUAAUACGGAGGAUGCGAGCGUUAUCCGGAUUUAUUGGGUUUAAAGGGUGCGUAGGCGGCACACCAAGUCAGCGGUGAAAUUUCCGGGCUCAACCCGGACUGUGCCGUUGAAACUGGCGAGCUAGAGUGCACAAGAGGCAGGCGGAAUGCGUGGUGUAGCGGUGAAAUGCAUAGAUAUCACGCAGAACCCCGAUUGCGAAGGCAGCCUGCUAGGGUGCGACAGACGCUGAGGCACGAAAGCGUGGGUAUCGAACAGGAUUAGAUACCCUGGUAGUCCACGCAGUAAACGAUGAAUACUAACUGGUUUGCGAAUAAAUGUAAGCGGGACAGCGAAAGCGUUA
rnacentral:rRNA from 1 species